rnacentral:rRNA from 1 species
GAUGAACGCUAGCGGCAGGCUUAAUACAUGCAAGUCGAGGGGCAGCACAGGUAGCAAUACUGGGUGGCGACCGGCAAACGGGUGCGGAACACGUACACAACUUACCUUCUGGUGGGGGAUAGCCUUUGGAAACGGAGAUUAAUACCCCAUAUUAUAUAUGAGCUGCAUGGUUUGUAUAUUUAAGAUUUAUUGCAGGAAGAUGGGUGUGCGUAGGAUUAGGUAGUUGGCGGGGUAACGGCCCACCAAGCCGACGAUCAUUAACUGGUGUGAGAGCACGACCAGUCACACGGGCACUGAGACACGGGCCCGACUCCUACGGGAGGCAGCAGUAAGGAAUAUUGGUCAAUGGACGGAAGUCUGAACCAGCCAUGCCGCGUGGAGGAUGAAGGUCCUCUGGAUUGUAAACUUCUUUUAUAGGGGGCGAAAAAAGGGAAUUCUUUCUCGUCUGACGGUACCCUAUGAAUAAGCACCGGCUAACUCCGUGCCAGCCGCCGCGGUAAGAC